rnacentral:rRNA from 1 species
UACGAAGGGGGCUAGCGUUACUCGGAAUUACUGGGCGUAAAGGGAGCGUAGGCGGGUUAUCAAGUUGGGGGUGAAAGCCCGGGGCUCAACCUCGGAAUUGCCUUCAAAACUGAUAACCUGGAGUAUGGAAGAGGCAAGUGGAACUCCGAGUGUAGAGGUGAAAUUCGUAGAUAUUCGGAAGAACACCAGUGGCGAAGGCGACUUACUGGUCCAUUACUGACGCUGAGGCUCGAAAGCGUGGGGAGCAAACAGG